GAUGAACGCUGGCGGCGUGCUUAACACAUGCAAGUCGAACGAAGCACCUUGAUUCGAUUCUUCGGAUGAAGAUCUUGGUGACUGAGUGGCGGACGGGUGAGUAACGCGUGGGUAACCUGCCUCAUACAGGGGGAUAACAGUUAGAAAUGACUGCUAAUACCGCAUAAGACCACCGCACCGCAUGGUGCAGGGGUAAAAACUCCGGUGGUAUGAGAUGGACCCGCGUCUGAUUAGGUAGUUGGUGGGGUAACGGCCUACCAAGCCGACGAUCAGUAGCCGACCUGAGAGGGUGACCGGCCACAUUGGGACUGAGACACGGCCCAAACUCCUACGGGAGGCAGCAGUGGGGAAUAUUGCACAAUGGGGGAAACCCUGAUGCAGCGACGCCGCUUGAGCGAUGAAGUAUUUCGGUAUGUAAAGCGCUAUCAGCAGGGAAGAAAAUGACGGUACCUGACUAAGAAGCACCGGCUAAAUACGUG
rnacentral:rRNA from 1 species